GUUGGGGUUAGUUAAGGUUUGAUCCUGUGCGUCAGGUGUUCAUGGUGCUGAUGUUCCUGAUCGCCAUCAUCCUGUACAGAACCAUCGUCAGCAUCGUCAUCUACAGAGCGCACAAGAGCUUUGUCGUCCUCUCUGCCAGUAGGAUCGCCAGUCUCACUGGGUCACUGUUGAACCUGCUGGUCAUUAUGACGCUCUCUAGAAUCUACAUCUCACUGGCCUACAUCCUGACACGCUGGGAGAUGCAUCGGACUCAGUCUAAAUACGAAGACAUGUUCAUCCUCAAAGUCUUCAUCUUCCAGUUCGUCAACUUCUACUCUUCUCCCGUCUAUAUCACCUUCUUCAAAGGAAGGUUUAUCGGUUACCCGGGGAACUAUAACGAACUGUUUGGGAUACGCAAUGAAGACUGCGGUCCUGGCGGGUGUCUGAUCGAACUGGCUCAGGAGCUGUUGGUCAUCAUGGUGGGAAAACAGCUGAUCAACAACAUUCAGGAGUUCCUCAGUCCGAAGCUGAAGGGCUGGUGGCAGGCCAGGAAGGGGGAGGAGGGCGGGGGGGAGAAGGAACCCCCGUUGCCGUGGGAGACGGAACUACCAGCUGUUGGUGUUGUGAGGGGGCUGUUCAGCGAGUACCUGGAGAUGGUGCUCCAGUUCGGGUUCAUCACUAUCUUCGUGGCGGCCUGCCCGCUGGCCCCUCUCUUCGCUCUGUUCAACAACUGGCUCGAGGUGCGUCUGGACGCCCAUAAGUUUGUGUGUGAGUACCGGCGGCCAGUGGCCGAGCGCGUCCCCGACAUCGGCAUCUGGCUCACCGUCCUGCAGCUCAUCUCCCACCUGGCCGUGCUCAGCAACGUAGGCCUUCCUGCUGGCCUUCAGCUCCUCCUUCGUACCCCGGCUCCACUACCGCUGGACCCACGACGGCAGCCUCGCAGGCUACGUCAACUCCACCCUCUCCUACGCCCCUCCCAACGCCACCAGCCAAUCAAACCCCGUCUGCAGGUUUCGCGGCUACAGAGAUCAGGCAGGGAACUUCCUGCCCGAGUUCUAUCAGCUGUUGGCUCUGAGGCUGGCCUUCGUCAUCGUCUUCGAACACGUGGUGUUCCUGAGUGGCCGUGUGAUCGACCUGAUGGUCCCUGAUGUCCCAGAGGAGGUGGAGACGAAGAUCAAGAGAGAGUUCUACAUGGCCAAGGAGGCUCUGGCAGAGCACCAGUCGGCCGACCGGACGCUGAUCCCGGGGCAGAUGGAGCUGGGCGGCGUGCGCCAGCGGGUGACGGGCGCUCUCCUCCAGGGCACGCUGGUGAACCUCCUCCAGUCCUACUCAGACCCGUCCCAGGAGAGCUCCACAUGAACCCCCCUCCAUACACCGUCAGGACGCACACAAUUAAACACAAUGCAUCAAUAUCCCUUCA